CUGACAACACUGGAGACAGAAGUAUAGAACAGGUACAUAAUGAGCAGUAGCAAUGUCCACAAAGAACACACAUCAAUGUGCCUUAACCCUGUCCUGGGAGGUACUACCUCUAGGGACAAGAACAGAAUUUAGUCUCCAUGGCCCACUCUAUCCUUGGUGUCU
ensembl:misc_RNA